CGCUUAACCCUCCAAUAGUCCCCAUUCCGCCAGAGCCAGUGUCUCCUCCUCUUUACAGGCCUUCCCUUACCUCCCUCCAUGCUGUCCACUUCCUCUGUAAAGCUCUCAACCCUGUCCCCUUCCCCCUCUCUCCUGGGAAAGAGCCCUCCCAUGCCUAGCUGCUGCUCUUAGGGACCCUGUGGCUAGGUGCGCGGAUGGAAAUCCAGGUCCUCGAUGAUCUUGAAGUAAUGGCUCCAGUCUCUGACCUGGGGUCCCUUCUUCUCCAAGUGCUCCCGGAUUUUGCUCUCCAGCCUCCGGUUCUCGGUCUCCAGGCUCCUCACUCUGUCCAGGUGGAGGAGGUGCUGGCGAGUUUGAAAUUUGGGAGUCUUGACCGGGCGCAGUGGCUCACGCCUGUAAUCUCAGCACUUUGGGAGGCCUAGGCGGGCGGAUCACGAGGUCAGGAGAUCGAGACCAUCCUAGCCAACAUGGUGAAACCCCGUCUCUACUAAAAUACAAAAAAUUAGCCGG
rnacentral:sRNA from 1 species